UCACAUUGGUGGCUGAUGUACAGGUGGGUUGUAGUUAACAAACAGUUACACAGAAACACACCAUAUUGCUUUUGUUAACUCUGAGUUGUGUGGAAUUUUGUAGGGGAAGAAUGUACUGGCAGUUGAUGCAUAUGUUGUGGUUACGUGGCUACCACCACUUAAUCAAGAUCCUUUUUUAUCAUUUCCAAAUAAUAUUGCGCUCAAGGAUUAUCUGCUUUUUCCUGCUUGGAAGCCUGGUCAUUGGAUGCUAUGUGUCAUGAAGCCUAAAGACAGGCAAAUGUUCUUUCUUGAUUCAGCCAAUCCUUAUGGAUUGGGAGAUGGUCGAUACUUGACGCUUUUCAGGUUGCUUAAGUUUAAUGGUUUGGAACCUGUUCAAGGUUCGCUGUUCA